GAGCGCUAUUAUUUUCCUUCUGUUAGAUAGCGUUUUUAACAAAACGCUAUGUUUGGCCUGCAUCAAUUAUCAAAAAAGAGGCGGAUUCUUUUUAAUUUCCGCGCACAUAUUUUCACCAAAACCCACCCACACCUCACCACACCAAAACAAAAACAAAUCAGAAACACGUACACCUCCAUCUACUUUUCCAAAAACCCAUCGAUCUCCUUUUCCAUAAACCCAUCGAUCUGCUUCUCUUCUUCUCACUGAGUCCAUCGAUUUCCUUCUCACUGUGUUCAUCGAACCUUCUCCAAAACCCCAUACUCACUCAUAGUUGCUUCAAUUUCUUCCUUCAUCCUCACUCACUCUUCAAUCCCUUUAUCAUACCUUCAUUGUUCCUUAAAAAAUUCAAAACCCAGAACUCAUUGAAUUCAAUCGAACCCAAAAACCCCAACUCGUCAAAAACCCUUAUCACAGAUUUCAAGAAUCGAAACCCUACCCUUUCCAGUUUCAAUUCCAUAAGUUGAUUAAUCAAUUGAAACCGUAAAGAGAAGGAGCAUCCGUAGCUGCCGCCGCCGCCGCUGUUGUCUCUGUUUGUUCUUCAAGAGCAGUAUGCUACGGCUCUAACAAGGUUGCUACAAUGAAUAAGUAGAGAUAACAUAUUCAAUGAAAAAUUAGAAAUAACAGUUGCAAGUACUAGUUGAUGGAGUGCUCCCACUUGUUAGAUCAAAGAGAUGAAUCAAACAAUCCGUACAUGCAGAUGGUGUAUGCAUGGACAAUUUGUGGUGUUGUUAUUUAAACUACAUGUGUACUUGCAAUGUCAAAGUCUGAUUGAACUAGUUAUUCAAGAAUUUUGCAGUUCAGUUUUGUCUUAUCAGUACUACUGUGAUUAGUUUAUGAUGUUGGAAGAGCUGCUGUGAUGCUGCAAAAUUUUGGGGUUCUAGUUUGGUGUAUCAGUUUGUGUUCUUUAGCGUUGAUGAUGCUUUGGAGUUUUAGCUUCGUUCCAGCCAUGCGUCCUAAGGUGUCAAGCAAGUGAGCUUCAGGUUAAGCUUGAUGAUGUUGUAGAGUUAUUAGACUCAUUCCAGCCAUGUGUCAUAAUAGAUCCCUGAAGCCUUUGAGCUUUGUAGCAUUGUUGUGUUGCAGCUCGAGAGGUUCGUUAGAAUUCUCGAGGUCAACCAGUUGGAGAAGAAAGUCAAGGUUUUGUCAGUUACAUUGGAGUCAUCGUUCGUCGGGAGGUUCCAAUUUGUAUGGAAAAUUGGAGAAAAAAGCCAAGGUUUUGUUAGUUUCUUUAGGUUUGUUAUCGUUCAUAUAUACGUAUUGUGCACGAACUUUGCAUUUUUAUGUAAGUGUACAUUAGAUGUCAUGUGUAAUUAAGUUUUUUAUCAACACAUUAUUGUUUAUUUAUAUUAAUGGAUUACUAGUGUUUCUGAUAUGUA